rnacentral:pre_miRNA from 1 species
AGAGAGAUAGCUGGAUCAAAUGGUGGUUCCACUUCCAAUUUUCCAAGAAAUCUCCAUACUGCUUUCCAUAUUGGCUGCACCAAUUUGCAGUCCCACCAGCAGU